AGUGGGGUCAGGCCACCAAGGCGGGGGGGACACAGGGGACCCAGGGGUCCGGGUGGAGGGGACCCCAACGUCUGGGGCCCAGAUGUCCGGGUGGAGGGGACCCAGGGGUCCAGGACCCAGGGGUCCGGGUGGAGGGCACCCAGGUGUCCAGGACCGAGGUGUCCUGUGGAGAAGGGACCCAGGUGUCCAGGACCGAGGGGACCCAGGUGUCCAGGACCCAGGCGUCUGGUGGAGAAGGGACCCAGGUGUCCAGUCCAGAGGGGACCCAGGUGUCCAGGACCAAGGUGUCCAGUCCAGAGGGGACCCAGGCGUCCAGGACCCAGGCGUGAGGGUGCAGGGGACCCAGGUGUCCGGGUCCCAGAGUCUGGUGGAGAAGGGACCCAAGUGUCCAGGCAAAGGGCACCCAGGCAUCCGGUGGAGAAGGGACCCUGGUGUCCAGGACCCAGAGUCUGGUGAGGAGGGACCCAGGUGUCUGGGACCCAGAGUCUGGAGUGGAGGGGACCCAAGUGUCCAGGCAAAGGACACCUAGGUGUCUGGUGGAGAAGGGACCCAGGUGUCCAGGCCCCAGGCAUCCGGUGGAGAAGGGACCCAGGUGUCCAGGCCGAGGGGACCCAGGGGGCCA